GCAGAGAUUUUCCCUCGUACCUUUUGCAUCAUGAUUUAGCCAGCAUCUUCAAGCAAAGCGAACUUUAGUUUGAAACCCCGAAACUGUGUGAGCUACUCCAAGACAGCCUAUUUAUAGGGCAAACCCGUCUCUGUGGCAAAAGAGUGGGAAGAACUUCGAGUAGGGGUGACAGACCUAUCGAACUCAGUUAUAGCUGGUUGCCCGGGAAUUGGAUAAAAGUUCAGCCUUAUAGCUUCUCCCUAAACCGUAAGAGUUAGUCAAAGGGGGUACAGCCCCUUUGAACAAAGACACAACUUUUCCAGGAGGAUAAAGAUCAUAUUUUUUAAGGCAAAACGUUCCGGUGGGCCUAAAAGCAGCCAUCCUAACAGAAAGCGUUAAAGCUCGAACGUACUAUCCCGAUACCCAAAUCUUAUUCCCCUGAUAUUACCGAGCCUCCCCAUGCAUCCAUGGGGGUGACCCUGCUAAAAUGAGUAAUAAGAGAGCCCUCUCUCCCAGCACAUGUGUAAAUCGGAACGGACUAACCACCGAACAAUAACGGCCCCAAACAAAGAGGGCACUGGACAAAAACUAGAAAAUCGUCCACCGUUAACCCUACACUGGUGUGCCCCCCGGGAAAGACUAAAAGAAAGAGAAAGGAACUCGGCAAACAAGCCUCGCCUGUUUACCAAAAACAUCGCCUCUUGCAAGAAUAAGAGGUCCCGCCUGCCCGGUGACUAUAUGUUUAACGGCCGCGGUAUUUUGACCGUGCGAAGGUAGCGUAAUCACUUGUCUUUUAAAUGGAGACCUGUAUGAAUGGCAUAACGAGGGCUUAACUGUCUCCUCUUUCCAGUCAAUGAAAUUGAUCUCCCCGUGCAGAAGCGGGGAUAAGCACAUAAGACGAGAAGACCCUAUGGAGCUUUAGACACCAAGACAGACCAUGUUAAGAACCCCAUAAACUAAAGGCCUGAACUUAAUGACCACCUGUCCUAAUGUCUUCGGUUGGGGCGACCAUGGGGUAGCACAAAACCCCCAUGUGGAAUGGAAGAACUCCCACAAGCAAGAGCUACAACUCUAACUAACAGAACUUCUGACCUAUCAUGAUCCGGUACCCACCGAUCAACGGACCAAGUUACCCUAGGGAUAACAGCGCAAUCCCCUUCUAGAGCCCAUAUCGACAAGGGGGUUUACGACCUCGAUGUUGGAUCAGGACAUCCUAAUGGUGCAG
rnacentral:rRNA from 1 species